CCUGGUUUCCGUACCCAGCGUUUGACCAUCUGUCUUAUUUGAAAAAAAUAUAAAAAAAUUAAAAAGACAAGUCACGCAUAAAAUAUUAAUCAUGUUUUAUCAUUUAACAACAAUAAUAAUACGAAUUAUAAAAAAAUUUCAUAUAAGACGGACAGUCAAAAUUGGACGCGGAAACUCAGGGUUUACCUUUUU
rfam:Oryza sativa Japonica Group DNA, chromosome 3, cultivar: Nipponbare, complete sequence.